GAUGAAGAACGUAGUGAAAUGCGAUACGUAAUGUGAAUUGCAGAGUUCAGUGAAUCAUCGAAUCUUUGAACGCAUAUUGCGCUCUCUGGUAUUCCGGAGAGCAUGCUUGUUUGAGUAUCAGUAAACACCUCAACUUCCAUAUCUUUUUUGAAAUGGGAGUUGGACUUGAGUGAUCCCAACGCUUUUCCUCACCGAAAAGUGGCGGGUUACUUGAAAUGCAGGUGCAGCUGGACUUUUCUCUGAGCUAUAAGCAUAUCUAUUUAGUCUGCCUAAAAAACAGAUUAUUACCUUUGCUGCAGCUAACAUAAAGGAGAUUAGUUCUUGUGCUGACUGAUGCAGGAUUCACAAAGACGGCUUCGGCCGACUUUGUAAACUCGAUCUCAAAUCAAGUAAGACUACCCGCUGAACUUAAGCAUAUCAAUAAGCGGAGGA
rnacentral:misc_RNA from 1 species